AUCCAGCUGAAGAGUCCUUAAUAGGACGAAACGUGAGUCUUGGAU
rnacentral:hammerhead_ribozyme from 1 species